rnacentral:rRNA from 1 species
GUGAGGAAUUUUCCGCAAUGGGCGAAAGCCUGACGGAGCAAUGCCGCGUGAAGGAUGAAGGCCUAUGGGUUGUAAACUUCUUUUCUCAGAAAAGAAUUAUGACGGUAUCUGAGGAAUAAGCAUCGGCUAACUCUGUGCCAGUAGCCGCGGUAAGACAGAGGAUGCAAGCGUUAUCCGGAAUGAUUGGGCGUAAAGCGUCUGUAGGUUGUUUAAAAAGUAUUCUGUCAAAGAUUAGGGCUUAACCCUAGAUAGGCAGAAUAAACUUUUAAGCUAGAGUUUGGUAGAGGCAGAGGGAAUUCCCGGUGGAGCGGUGAAAUGCGUAGAUAUCGGGAGGAACACCAAAGGCGAAGGCACUCUGCUGGGCCAAUACUAACACUGAGAGACGAAAGCGAGGGGAGCAAAUGGGAUUAGAAACCCCUGUAGUCC